rnacentral:rRNA from 1 species
AUUGAACGCUGGCGGCAGGCCUAAUACAUGCAAGUCGAGGGGCAGCGCAGUGUAGCAAUACAUGGGCGGCGACCGGCAAACGGGUGCGGAACACGUACGCAACCUUCCUUCAAGCGGGGCAUAGCCCAGAGAAAUUUGGAUUAAUACCUCAUAGGAAUGUAGUCUCGCAUGAGACAGCAUUUAAAGAUUUAUCACUUGAAGAUGGGCGUGCGUCUGAUUAGGUAGUUGGUGAGGUAACGGCUCACCAAGCCGACGAUCAGUAACUGGCGUGAGAGCGCGACCAGUCACACGGGCACUGAGACACGGGCCCGACUCCUACGAGAGGCAGCAAUAAGGAAUAUUGGUCAAUGGACGGAAGUCUGAACCAGCCAUGCCGCGUGGAGGAUGAAGGCCCUCUGGGUUGUAAACUUCUUUUAUCUGGGACGAAACACUUCCUUUCUAGGGGGCUUGACGGUACCAGAGGAAUAAGCACCGGCUAACUCCGUGCCAGCAGCCGCAGUAAGAC